GUCUAUGUCGAUUAGUGGUUAAAUCACCUCGUUGUGGUCGCUUGCGAUUCCGAGGAGCCCUGUGUUCGACUCACAGCAUGGACA